rnacentral:rRNA from 1 species
UUCCCUAGUACGGCGAGUGAGCGGGAAGAGCUCAAAUUUGAAAUCUGGUGGCCUCAGGUCACUCUUGUUGUAAUCUAUAGAAGUGUUUUCCGUGCUGGCUCAUGUACAAGUCCCUUGGAACAGGGCGUCAUAGAGGGUGAGAAUCCCGUCCUUGACAUGAACUACCAGUGCUCUGUGAUACAUUUUCAACGAGUCGAGUUGUUUGGGAAUGCAGCUCAAAAUGGGUGGUAAAUUCCAUCUAAAGCUAAAUAUUGGCGAGAGACCGAUAGCGAACAAGUACCGUGAGGGAAAGAUGAAAAGCACUUUGGAAAGAGAGUUAAACAGUAUGUGAAAUUGUUGAAAGGGAAACGAUUGAAGUCAGUCGUGCUCUUUGGAUUCAGCCGGUUCUGCCGGUGUACUUCCUUUGAGUGGGGUCAACAUCAGUUUUGAUCGCUGGAUAAAGGCUGGAGGAACGUAGUACCCUCGGGUAAACUUAUAGCCUCCUGUCACAUACAGUGGUUGGGACUGAGGAACGCAGCACGCCUUUAUGGCCGGGAUUCGUCCACGUACGUGCUUAGGAUGUUGACAUAAUGGCUUUAAACGACCCGUCUUGAACAACGGGACCCA